AACAACAAAGUGUAUGUGUCCGUAAACAAAAAGGCAGCGAGACAGACCAAACGAAUAAAGUGUAUGGGCUCCAGAGUAGAAGGUGUCAUCCACACCAUCCUACUGCUCGGGGGAGGGUCUGCGUCGUUGGUGUGUGCGGAAACUCUGAGACAGGAGAACUUUGGAGGCAGAAUCAUCAUGGUAACCAGGGACAACCUUCUGCCC